ACCACCUAGGGGGAGGACGACGACUGAGGCCAGGUCUCAGGGUUCCUGCAUCCUAACAGCCUGCUCAGCUGGACAGCACCUUUCCUAACCAUCCCAGUACACUGCAGUACUGUGUCUGGCUCUGAGGACCACCUUUGGGAUGGACCAUACCAACUGGAGUAUCUUCAGAAGGAAACCAGGAUCCAGAAGUGUUUUGGGGAAAACAAGUAUGCUGAGCUCAAAGACAAAAGCUUAAGGAGUUUUUGACAUCCCAUCUAAUCUGGGGACCUUAUGAACAUCUGUAAAAAACAGUUCCCAUAUACUUUUCAGGAUCCAACUUUUGCCAGUCAAUGCUGAAAAGAAUCACUCUUGAAAGCAAAUUAGAGAAAGAUCUAGUAAGCAAUAUAGGUAUUUUCCAACCUAAGAACAGAUUCAAACUCAUAAACGAUCCUUAUGAAAUAACGGAUCCUGCCACUCCCCACCCCUCAAUUUUAAGAAUGUCAUCUAAAGGCUGAAAAGGUGCUGCAGGGACCUCACUGGUCAGAACUUGGUGAUCUGUUAUUCAACAUUAUUUACUGAGCACCUAUACCUAUACCUAGUGAGCACCAGGCACAAUCUAGUCUCUAAAGGUAUGAUGGUGAGCAAAAUGGAUACAGCCCUUACACUCAUGGAGCUUACAGAACAUUCAAAAAUGAUCGCACAAAUAACUAAAAUUACAACUGUGAUAAGAGCUACACAAGAGAACAAGUAUAGGAAAGCCAAGUAUAUGGAUCCAACUGGAAUGAUUGGAAGGCUUCCCAAGGAAGUGAUGACCAAGGCGAGAGCUGAAGAACAAGCAGGAAUUAAGCAGAUGAGUGGGGAUGGGGAAUGGAUGGGAAGAAUACUCAGUGUACAAGAAACAGC